rnacentral:rRNA from 1 species
UGAGGAAUAUUGGUCAAUGGACGCAAGUCUGAACCAGCCAAGUAGCGUGCAGGAUGACGGCCCUAUGGGUUGUAAACUGCUUUUAUAUGGGGAUAAAGUGGGGAACGUGUUCCCUUUUGCAGGUACCAUAUGAAUAAGGACCGGCUAAUUCCGUGCCAGCAGCCGCGGUAAUACGGAAGGUUCGGGCGUUAUCCGGAUUUAUUGGGUUUAAAGGGAGCGUAGGCCGUUUGGUAAGCGUGUUGUGAAAUAUACCGGCUCAACCGGCGGCUUGCAGCGCGAACUGGUCGACUUGAGUAUGCAGGAAGUAGGCGGAAUUCAUGGUGUAGCGGUGAAAUGCUUAGAUAUCAUGACGAACUCCGAUUGCGCAGGCAGCUUACUGUAGCAUAACUGACGCUGAUGCUCGAAAGUGCGGGUAUCAAACAGG